rnacentral:rRNA from 1 species
AGUGAACGCUGGCGGUAGGCCUAACACAUGCAAGUCGAACGGCAGCACAGUAAGAGCUUGCUCUUACGGGUGGCGAGUGGCGGACGGGUGAGGAAUACAUCGGAAUCUACUUUUUCGUGGGGGAUAACGUAGGGAAACUUACGCUAAUACCGCAUACGACCUACGGGUGAAAGCAGGGGAUCUUCGGACCUUGCGCGAUUGAAUGAGCCGAUGUCGGAUUAGCUAGUUGGCGGGGUAAAGGCCCACCAAGGCGACGAUCCGUAGCUGGUCUGAGAGGAUGAACAGCCACACUGGAACUGAGACACGGUCCAGACUCCUACGGGAGGCAGCAGUGGGGAAUAUUGGACAAUGGGCGCAAGACUGAUCCAGCCAUACCGCGUGGGUGAAGAAGGCCUUCGGGUUGUAAAGCCCUUUUGUUGGGAAAGAAAAGCAGCAGGUUAAUACCCCGCUGUUCUGACGGUACCCAAAGAAUAAGCACCGGCUAACUUCGUG